rnacentral:rRNA from 1 species
UACGAAGGGGGCUAGCGUUGCUCGGAAUCACUGGGCGUAAAGGGCUCGUAGGCGGCCAACUAAGUCAGACGUGAAAUCCCCAGGCUCAACCUGGGAACUGCGUCUGAUACUGGAUGGCUUGAAUCCGGGAGAGGGAUGCAGAAUUCCAGGUGUAGCGAUGAAAUGCGUAGAUAUCUGGAGGAAUACCGGUGGCGAAGGCGGCAUCCUGGACCGGCAUUGACGCUGAGGAGCGAAAGCUAGGGGAGCAAACGGG